CCAGCGUAAAUGUAUGUAUUGUUUCCUGCAUAUGAAUGGCAAAAAGGGUUUUUGAGCAUAUCUGCAGCGCUAUUUUGUAUUGCUCCUCAUUGCCGGUGUGCAACUAGGAACUUUGCAUCCUUGUUGUGGACCCCCGGCUCCCUGGUUCGGACCACGACUCUUGGGUGUGGCAGCAUAAUCCACUGUGAGCGCGCCUAGCCACACAACUGCAACCUGGCGAGUAUCUGCUUGGUGCCCAGCUACGACUAGUGCCAGGGAGCGCACCUUCUCCAGGAUGCCCUCCUGACCCGCUGCCGUGCUCUCUGCCGCGACAGCGAGGCGGGUGGUGGAUUGUUCGGUCCUCCGCAGCACCUGAAAUGAAUAAUCGUGGUGGAACUGUUGGCAAGAGUUGCUGAUUACUCAUAACCAGCUCAUGGCUGGAAGCUGCUGUUGUCAAGAAUUGCAACGUGCACAACAAUUCCCGACAUCUCUCGCUGUAGCCACUGUGGUGUCUAUCCUCCCAACACAUCACAUAUCCUAUGGCGAUGCCAUCCAAAAGUGCCCCCUAACCCAAACCUUCAUCCCUCCCAUCUACCCCUUCCUCCGAGUGACUGACCGCCGCAACCACCCUUCACGACCAACGAUUCCUUGCGGACUUGAUCGGCCUAGCGCUGAAGCACGCCGCAAGCGACGCCCUGGACUGAGGGCAUCGAUGCAUUUUUAUGGCAGAAUAAAAAAGUCAUUUCUCUCUCUCUCUGUUGAAGAGCCACUGGCCUGAUGGCAUCAUUUUCUUUGGCAGUGUGAAGCGUCGUGUACAAGCUAUGCCCUCUUCGUUUGCACAAAGACCUGUUGGAACUACUCUUCCAUCAUCUACUCAAAUGCAUCUCUUACCACCAAACAGCCCUUUUCAGGGCUAACCAAGCUUUUGCCCUGCUCUUGAUCGUUGGCAAGAUACGAUACCGACCCCUCAAUACAACGCAUAUUUCUUAUUUAUAUCCAAAGUUGGUUUGUUUUCCCGAUUCAUGAUUCAUUUAUGAUAACAGAGCAUAAAAAAUAUUUAUGUCCUUCAUGUAAAAUGACACCAAAGGAUCUACCAACCUGGAGCCUCUCGUCGCCCUGUUCGAGGCUGCGGGCGCACUGCGACGACAUGGUUGUGAGGGUGUCCACCCGUCGUGGUCGCUGUCCACGUGGUGGUCGUACAGGACGCUGCAACACUGAAAGCAUGCAUCAUUUUCUACAAUUGCACUGCAUUUUAUGGUAUGCAUAAAAAGUGGCUAUGGCCAUGUUAUGGCUUAUUGGGCUAGUUCAAUAAAAUACGAGAGCUUAUUUUCUCUAACAGUUUGAGGAUCAAUAACUUACCAGGUGCAGCGGCCACCCUUUCCGUGCCUGAUGUGCCACGCGGUGGAUCCUCUGCCGCUGUAAACACAUUACAAGUUUACGAACUGCACACACAUUUGGCGAUAAUUAAAACACUCAUUCCUUUGA